UUGGUUUGAACUUUUAUUCAACCAGGUUUGAGUCUCGUUGAGAUAAAAACAGAGAGAGAUUUGAACCAAGAUGGUCACAUGACAUCAGCCAGACAGACAUCAAUACAACAGUCUGCCAGUAACCAAGAUGUCAGUUGUUUUACAGGGUCAGUCAUAGUAGUAUGAUAGGUGUUGUUUUACAGGGUCAGUCAUAGUAGUAUGAUAGGUGUUGUUUUACAGGGUCAGUCAUAGUAGUAUGAUAGGUGUUGUUUUACAGGGUCAGUCAUAGUAGUGUGAUAGGUGUUGUUUUACAGGGUCAGUCAUAGUAGUGUGAUAGGUGUUGUUUUACAGGGUCAGACAUAGUAGUAUGAUAGGUGUUGUUUUACAGGGUCAGUCAUAGUAGUAUGAUAGGUGUUGUUUUACAGGGUCAGUCAUAGUAGUAUGAUAGGUGUUGUUUUACAGGGUCAGUCAUAGUAGUAUGAUAGGUGUUGUUUUACAGGGUCAGUCAUAGUAGUAUGAUAGGUGUUGUUUUACAGGGUCAGUCAUAGUAGUAUGAUAGGUGUUGUUUUACAGGGUCAGUAGUAUGAUAGGUGUUGUUUUACAGGGUCAGUCAUAGUAGUAUGAUAGGUGUUGUUUUACAGGGUCAGUCAUAGUAGUAUGAUAGGUGUUGUUUUACAGGGUCAGUAUAGUAGUAUGAUAGGUGUUGUUUUACAGGGUCAGUCAUAGUAGUAUGAUAGGUGUUGUUUUACAGGGUCAGUCAUAGUAGUAUGAUAGGUGUUGUUUUACAGGGUCAGUCAUAGUAGUAUGAUAGGUGUUGUUUUACAGGGUCAGUCAUAGUAGUAUGAUAGGUGUUGUUUUACAGGGUCAGUCAUAGCAGUAUGAUAGGUGUUGUUUUACAGGGUCAGUAGUAUGAUAGGUGUUGUUUUACAGUCAUAGUAGUGUGAUCGGUCCAGUGUAAUGUGUUGAAAGGUUACAUGCCUUUCUCAGAGGCCCAUGGACAUAUUUUUCACUUUGUUGUCUCUGGGAUUUGAACCAGUGACCUCUGUCUCAAACCACUAGGCUACCUGCCACCCUAGAGCAUCAGUAGGGCGUGCAAUAAAUCACAGGCCCAUUACAGUAUCCGAACGAGCAAGUACGCAUCACGCUUACCAUGGCAACGCGGACUAGUGACAUCAGGUGACACCCACAAACUACUACAUCUCAACAACCUGUUCGUCUGUAGGUGGUUUAAACUCCUAGUGACCCCCGGUCCUGGUGCUUUAGGUUGGCUUGGAGGGAAUUCCAAGACCCGAUCAACUACCUCAACUGGUCAGCGUUGGGGUCGGCUUCCUCAACUGGUCAGCGUUGGGGUCGGCUUCCUCAACUGGUCAGCGUUGGGGUCGGCUUCCUCAACUGGUCAGCGUUGGGGUCGGCUUCCUCAACUGGUCAGCGUUGGGGUCGGCUUCCUCAACUGGUCAGCGUUGGGGUCGGCUUCCUCAACUGGUCAGCGUUGGGGUCGGCUUCCUCAACAGGUCAGCGUUGGGGUCGGCUUCCUCAACUGGUCAGCGUUGGGGUCGGCUUCCUCAACUGGUCAGCGUUGGGGUCGGCUUCCUCAACUGGUCAGCGUUGGGGUCGGCUUCCUCAACUGGUCAGCGUUGGGGUCGGCUUCCUCAACUGGUCAGCGUUGGGGUCGGCUUCCUCAACUGGUCAGCGUUGGGGUCGGCUUCCUCAACUGGUCAGCGUUGGGGUCGGCUUCCUCAACUGGUCAGCGUUGGGGUCGGCUUCCUCAACUGGUCAGCGUUGGGGUCGGCUUCCUCAACUGGUCAGCGUUGGGGUCGGCUAAUGAGAGACUGGACAGGAUGCCAACCUUACUGUCAGGUGGCUGUUGGUCCAUCUGGCUGUGUGCACCUUGUAUCGUGACUGGAA